rnacentral:rRNA from 1 species
UGACCUCGGAUCAGGUAGGCCAAUACCCGUCUUGAACUUAAGCAUAUCAAUAAGCGGAGGA